CAGUAGCCGCGGUAAUACGUAGGUGGCAAGCGUUGUCCGGAAUUAUUGGGCGUAAAGGGCUCGCAGGCGGUUUCUUAAGUCUGAUGUGAAAGCCCCCGGCUCAACCGGGGAGGGUCAUUGGAAACUGGGAAACUUGAGUGCAGAAGAGGAGAGUGGAAUUCCACGUGUAGCGGUGAAAUGCGUAGAGAUGUGGAGGAACACCAGUGGCGAAGGCGACUCUCUGGUCUGUAACUGACGCUGAGGAGCGAAAGCAUGGGGAGCGAACAGGAUUAGAUACCCCCGUAGUCCCUGUCUCUUAUAC
rnacentral:rRNA from 1 species